AUUGAACGCUGGCGGCAGGCUUAACACAUGCAAGUCGAGCGGAGAUGAGGUGCUUGCACCUUAUCUUAGCGGCGGACGGGUGAGUAAUGCUUAGGAAUCUGCCUAUUAGUGGGGGACAACAUUCCGAAAGGAAUGCUAAUACCGCAUACGUCCUACGGGAGAAAGCAGGGGACCUUCGGGCCUUGCGCUAAUAGAUGAGCCUAAGUCGGAUUAGCUAGUUGGUGGGGUAAAGGCCUACCAAGGCGACGAUCUGUAGCGGGUCUGAGAGGAUGAUCCGCCACACUGGGACUGAGACACGGCCCAGACUCGUACGGGAGGCAGCAGUGGGGAAUAUUGGACAAUGGGCGGAAGCCUGAUCCAGCCAUGCCGCGUGUGUGAAGAAGGCCUUUUGGUUGUAAAGCACUUUAAGUUGGGAGGAAGGGCAGUAAGCUAAUACCUUGCUGUUUUGACGUUACCAACAGAAUAAGCACCGGCUAACUUCGUGCCAGCCGCCGCCGUAAUAC
rnacentral:rRNA from 1 species